rnacentral:rRNA from 1 species
GUAGGGGACAAGCGUUAUCCGGAUUUACUGGGCGUAAAGCGCCCGUAGGCGGCUUUUUAAGUUGGACGUGAAAGCUCCCGGCUUAACUGGGAGAGGCCGUUCAAAACUGAGGAGCUAGAGUGAGGCAGAGGAGCGCGGAAUUCCCGGUGUAGUGGUGGAAUGCGUAGAUAUCGGGAGGAACACCAGUGGCGAAAGCGGCGCUCUGGGCCUAAACUGACGCUGAGGGGCGAAAGCGUGGGGAGCGAACGGGAUUAGAUACCCCGGUAGUCCACGCCGUAAACGAUGGAGACUAGGUGUAGGCGGAUAGAACCCCGUCUGUGCCGAAGCCAACGCGUUAAGUCUCCCGCCUGGGGAGUACGGCCGCAAGGUUAAA